rnacentral:rRNA from 1 species
UAACAAGGAUUCCCCUAGUAACUGCGAGUGAAGCGGGAAAAGCUCAAAUUUAAAAUCUGUCAGCUUUGGCUGUCCGAGUUGUAGUCUGGAGAAGCGUUUUCUGUGCUGGACCGUGUACAAGUCUCUUGGAACAGAGCGUCGUAGAGGGUGAGAAUCCCGUCUUUGACACGGACUGCCAGUACUUUGUGAUGCGCUCUCAAAGAGUCGAGUUGUUUGGGAAUGCAGCUCAAAAUGGGUGGUAAAUUCCAUCUAAAGCUAAAUAUUGGCGAGAGACCGAUAGCGAACAAGUACCGUGAGGGAAAGAUGAAAAGCACUUUGGAAAGAGAGUUAAACAGUACGUGAAAUUGCUGAAAGGGAAACGCUUGAAGUCAGUCGCGUCGUCCGGAACUCAGCCUGGCUUUUGCCUGGUGUACUUUCUGGUUGACGGGCCAGCAUCAAUUUUGAUCGUCGGAUAAAGGCCUCAGGAAUGUGGCACCUUCGGGUGUGUUAUAGCCUGGGGUCGCAUACGACGGUUGGGAUUGAGGAUCUCAGCACGCCUUUAUGGUCGGGGUUCGCCCACGUACGUGCUUAGGAUGCUGGCGUAAUGGCUUUAAACGAC